UGACGGUGAGGGAAGAAACCCUGGGGGGCAAACGGGAUUAGAUACCCCGGUAGUCCCGGGGGUUAACGGUGGUGAAUUGGUGUUGGGGGCCCUGGGAGGGGGUUCAGUGCCGGCAAGAAGGUUAUGAGUCAGCCGCCUGGGGAGUACGGUCGCAAGAAUGAAACUAAGGAAUUGCCGGG
rnacentral:rRNA from 1 species